rnacentral:rRNA from 1 species
UACGUAGGGGGCAAGCGUUGUUCGGAUUUACUGGGCGUAAAGGGUGUGCAGGCGGGCUGUUAAGUGGUGUAUGAAAUAUCCCGGCUCAACCGGGAGAGGUUAUGCCAGACUGGCAGUCUAGAGAGCGAGAGAGGGACGUGGAAUUCCGGGUGUAGUGGUGAAAUGCGUAGAGAUCGUAAGGAAGACCAGUGGCGAAGGCGGGUCUCUGGACAGUUCCUGACACUGAGGCACGAAGGCCAGGGGAGCAAACGGG